rnacentral:tRNA from 1 species
CAAAGUAUAACUUAACUUAAAGUACUUCGCUUACACCGAAGCAAUGUCUGUGAAAAUCAAACUAUUUUGA